UUGACUCCGGCAAAUGAUAAUUAUUAUUAUUUUCACCGUGCCAAGUGAGAACGGUCGUUUCCAUUUGGUCUCUCUCAUCAGGAGCUUUACGGCUCAUUUCGCCCCGCCUUUGCGGGGCCUUUUUUUG
rnacentral:sRNA from 1 species